AAAGCGUGCGCAGGCGGUUAUGCAAGACAGAUGUGAAAUCCCCGGGCUCAACCUGGGAACUGCAUUUGUGACUGCAUGGCUAGAGUACGGUAGAGGGGGAUGGAAUUCCGCGUGUAGCAGUGAAAUGCGUAGAUAUGCGGAGGAACACCGAUGGCGAAGGCAAUCCCCUGGACCUGUACUGACGCUCAUGCACGAAAGCGUGGGGAGCAAACAGGAUUAGAUACCCUUGU
rnacentral:rRNA from 1 species